UACAGAGGGUGCGAGCGUUAAUCGGAAUUACUGGGCGUAAAGCGAGCGUAGUCGGUUAUUUAAGUCGGGUGUGAAAUCCCCGGGCUCAACCUGGGAAUUGCAUUCGAUACUGGAUAGCUAGAGUUCGGCAGAGGGAAGCGGAAUUUCCGGUGUAGCGGUGAAAUGCGUAGAUAUCUGGAGGAACACCGGUGGCGAAGGCGGCAUCCUGGACCAACACUGACGCUGAGUGAGCGAAAGCCAGGGGAGCAAACGGG
rnacentral:rRNA from 1 species